rnacentral:rRNA from 1 species
AAGCAUUUGCCAAGGAUGUUUUCAUUAAUCAAGAACGAAAGUUGGGGGCUCGAAGACSAUUAGAUACCGUCGUAGUCUCAACCAUAAACGAUGCCGACUAGGGAUUGGCGAAUGUUUUUUUAAUGACUUCGCCAGCACCUUAUGAGAAAUCAAAGUUUUUGGGUUCCGGGGGGAGUAUGGUCGCAAGGCUGAAACUUAAAGGAAUUGACGGAAGGGCACCACCAGGCGUUAACAAAGCUGAAAGCUCUAGCGCCAGUGAGGGGGAAACCUCUUGCUAGUCAACACAAUUCGAUUGUGUUGGCAACACCUUCAAAUUGCUGGAAAAUUCUAAAGCCAUUGCAUACCAAGGUGUGAAGGAAACUUCAUGCUGGCCAGGGUAAUGACCUCGGGUAUGGUGACAACUGCAAUGGAUGACGAGAUUUUCAGUCUCUGAAAUGGACAACCAGCAGCCAAGUCCUAAACAUGAUGUAAUAUCAUGCAUGGAUGCAGUUCACAGACUAAAUGGAGGUGGGCUGUCGAAUAAAUACCGACGGCUUAAGAUAUAGUCGGCCCUUAUCGAAAGAUAACCAGUAAGAGGAAACCAUGUUUAUAGUGGUGGAGAGCUUACUGGGCAUCAGGUAGUACUUGGCAGUGUGAGCUGUCAAGGGCUCCACCAUGGUGGAGCCUCUGAUGCGGAACUAGCGGGAGCCUGCGGCUUAAUUUGACUCAACACMGGGAAAACUUACCAGGUCCAGACAUAGUGAGGAUUGACAGAUUGAGAGCUCUUUCUUGAUUCUAUGGGUGGUGGUGCAUGGCCGUUCUUAGUUGGUGGGUUGCCUUGUYAGGUUGAUUCCGGGUAACGAACGAGACCUCAGSCCUGCUAAAUAGGUCCUAGUUGCUUUUUKGCAGCUAGCUGACUUUCUUAGAGGGGACUAUUGGKCGGUUWRGUCAAUGGARGUAUGRRGGCUGUAACAGGGUCUGGUGAUGGCCUUAGAUKGUUCUGGGGSCSGCACSGSGCSSCUUACACUGAUGGCAUUUCAACAGGCCUAUCCUUKGACCGGAAAGGUUCCGGGUAUUCUUUUGGAAMYKGCAUCGGUGAUGGGGGAAUWGRAUUUAUUGGCAAUUAUUAAGUCUUCCAACGGGAGGGGYGGUGCCUUAGAUAARGCGCGSCCC